AUAGAGACUCAGAGCUGCAUAUCAAUAAGCGGAGGAAAAGAAACUAACAAGGAUUCCCUUAGUAACGGCGAGUGAAGCGGGAAGAGCUCAAAUUUGAAAUCUUCAAGGUUCUACCUUGACGAAUUGUAGUUUAAAGAAGUGUUUUCUGUUAGUGGAGUGGCAAAAGUUCUUUGGAAUAGGACAUCAUAGAGGGUGAGAAUCCCGUAUUUGAUCAUUCCUUCUAGCUUUGUGAUACACUUUCAACGAGUCGGAUUGUUUGGGAAUGCAGUCCAAAAUGGGUGGUAAAUUUCAUCUAAAGCUAAAUAUUGGCGAGAGACCGAUAGCGAACAAGUACCGUGAGGGAAAGAUGAAAAGAACUUUGAAAAGAGAGUUAAACAGUACGUGAAAUUGUCAAAAGGGAAGCGUUUGACACCAGUGUUGUUUUUCCGAAAAUCAAUUACGAAUGUUUUAUUUUUGAGGAGUUAUGACUUCAUCGGCUUGCUUCCUUUCUUUACUGAAACUUUCUUAAUGCACUUUUCGGUUAACAAGUCAACAUCAAUUUCUUUUGUUGUAAAAGGGUAAGAGGAAGGUGGCUUACGCUUCGGCGUAAGUGUUUAUAGCCUUUUACCUCUGCAAUCGGAGAGAUUGAGGUCUGCAGCGUAGAUCCUUCGGGGUUAGAUACAUUUGUGCUAAGCUAUUGCCUUGUAUAGACAACUUGUUGACUAUGCUCAGUCAUGUAGCUUACUCGCUUAUGCUAUUUUACCUACGCUUAGGAUGUUGACGAGACUGUCGAUCUC
rnacentral:rRNA from 1 species